CUACGCCACACCUAUUACGGUCUGUCCUAAAAUCAAAAGUGAUUCAUGUCUGCAGGUUACACCCCUUAAUAAUUUACACGUCUACCUCUGGCUGGUACUAUAAAAUGCAUGAAAUGAAAAUCCAGGUACAAGUCCAUGCUGCACUUUGUUAUUUCGACGGAAAAACAAAUUAAUGUAGCCUGCUUCAGCCUAAUUUGUCUUUGCUUGGCAUGAAAGUGCAUAAAGGGAAUUCAUUUGACCUAACAAAGACAGAAGCACUAGAGCAAAAAAAAAACAGAAGUGCACC